UUUCCGUAGGUGAACCUGCGGAAGGAUCAUUAUUGGAUUUUGAAACUUCAGGAUGCUGCUGGCUCUCCUCGGAGGGCAUGUGCACGCUUGUUGUCCAUUAUUUCUCCCACUGUGCACAAAUUGUAGACCUUUCAGUAGGCCUAUGUUGUUUUUCACAAUCUCUGAAUGUAAUAGAAUGGUUUUGAAUCUUGGGAAAUACAAUACAACUUUCAGCAACGGAUCUCUUGGCUCUC
rnacentral:misc_RNA from 1 species